UGUACUUUUGCUCUUGAAUUGCUAUGUAUAUUUAUUUUUUUACAACAAUGUAUAUUGGUUAAAGAUUGUCUUCACUUUCCUUUGCUGCACCCAAAUUGCUGCUUAAUUGCCCUAGCUUCACAAGAUUUGAUCUUUCUUCUCUUUCCCCCCCAUUUUGGUGUUGAAACUUUGCCCCAAAAAGUCAUCCAUCUUCUUUGCUAAUUUUAAGGUCAUGGUGCUGAAUCAGAGUAAUUUCUGGUAUUAAAAGUAAGUGCUGGAUUGGAACUUCCAAAAUUUGAUGAGAAAAACAAGAAUUUCUUCCCUUUUUGUGUCUUUAUUUUUUACGUCUUCACUACUCUAUUUCUCUCAAUUUCGUAUUGUAUUUUAAUUUAUAUUAUGUUCAUGCUUUUGGAUCAUUUAGUCGAUUUUGACUGGAAAAACCACUGCUAAUUCGACUUUAAUAUUGGUGUUAAGUGUUCUCCUUUUUAAUUUUUGACAGAGUAGUCUUCUUACACCAAAAUUUGGAAAUGCUCAGUAAAUAUUUCUAAUCUUCCUUCCAUCUCUUUUAUGCGUUUUGUCUAAUCGCGUUUGAUGUUUUCUCUAAUCCAUUCAUUAGAGCAUGUUUAUUGAAAUCUAAUAAUAUUCUUGGGUGUUCCGAUUUUUCUACAUUAUGGUUUACUAUUUUCUUUCAAGGGUAAAGUUCUGCCUUCCUUUGCACAUAACAUGUUUGGUGAAAGUUAUGUUCAAAUUGUUAGAGUAAUGAUCCAUUGAUUCGUAGUAUAUAUGUAGUCGACUUCUGUAACAUCAUAAAGUAAUGGAUUACAAGUGUCGGUGAAAGAAACAAAAGGAAAAUGACCUCUUCGACUACAAUUGAACAUAGAAUUAUUUCAAGUUGUGCUCAUAUACUUCACAUUGAUUGGUUUCCAUAUCUUCUAUGAGAUUGCUGGAGAUCUUGGUAAUUUGCAGUCUCUACUGCGAAGAGGAAAAAUGACUAUUUUGUGAACUCUCUUUGUUCAUGAUUAAUGUUUAUUUCAAUUUAAGACAAUAUUAGCUAUUCAUAGUCUCAUCAGCCUUUGCUACAAAGAUUGAAGCUUGAAUGGUUUGUCGCUCUUUAAGUUUUCACUUUCUUCUUUUGUUUAAUUCAAUGGACAACUCCCUAAGGAGCUCAAGAUAUUUAUUUUUUUUAGUUUUGACUCGAUAUUUGAACUUAAGAAUAACUUGUGUUGGUUCAUUGAUGUCAGAAAUAAUUGAAAUUCUUUGAACUUUAUUUCAGCCUUCCCAAACUAAAACAGAGGUGUACAACUACUAUAUUUGAUGUGGAGUAUCUUAAUUAGAUGUGUGUUUUUCUUUCAUAUAUGAAUCUUGAUAUUUAAGGUGCAGUUAUUUUGAAGUGUCGUGUCUUCAUUAUUCUUUGUAAUGAUUUUUCUUGGCUAUAGCUGGGAACUUUUCUUUGCAUGAAUUAGUGAAAAAUAUUGAUUAUUAAGUCUCUGUUUUAAGUUACAGUUCAUGUUGUAAAUCCUUCUACUGAUUACCAUUUUGUUGAAGUGCUUAGUUAUAACAGGGGACCUUAAUUUGGUAUGUAAGAUUUGAAGAAGAAAGAUGAGUUCAACCAUGCAGGGGUUGCUAUUGAAGAGAAAUACAAAUGACAUUUACCUGAGAAAAUUACUAAAUGAGGAGUAUGCAUAAGAGCAAUUUCAAGUUUAUCACCCUUCUAGCAUUGAUGUAAGUUGUUCUACUUGGAGUAAGUCAUUAGGUGCUAUCAGCAAGAAGCUAAUGAAUUUUUAAAUUUCCCAACUACCAUAAAAAAAAAAGCAAAAUCUUUCAGCUCUGGCAAUUUUGAGGCAUAUUUCAGAUCCUACAUUAACUACAUGUAAAAAAAGUACUACUCACUUAGCCUUGAAAUGAUAUGUAUUAUUGAUCAUGUUUUAUUUUUUUUGUACCCAGUAAUCAAGACUAUCAGUAAAUUAGAUGAAAUGAGAAAAAUAAGCUACAACAUGCUUUUAUCUGGCAAGAGACGCUCAAGUUAUUAAUGUUAGAGGAAAGAUUAAUGGCAGAGUGAAUCUGAGUCCAUAUACUCCAUCCCUCUGUAUCAUCAUCUUUGGUUUACCUAAAAGUGUUCAUUAUAGUUUUAUUAGAUUUAGAAAUUACAAUGUCCAAGUGCGGUAAUUUAUAUAGCACCAAGUGCUGACGAUUUUACUUGGUAAAACAAAGUACAAACUAAAGUUCUAAUCUUUAGCAGGACAAAGAAAAAUAUGUCCAUGAUAUCUUAAGAUUGCUUUCUAUUAAGAGUAGCCAAAGAGUAAAAGAAAAAAUAUGCCCAUGAUAUCAUAAGAUUGCUUUCUAUUAAGUAGCCAAAGAGUUGAUCCAAUUUUAUUUCCCUUUUUUUUGACCUAUUUUGGUCAAUAUAAACGUAAGUUCAAAGAUAAAUUCUCAUUCAUCUUUUUUCUUUCUAUUAAGAGUAGUCAAAGGUUCUUUUGGAUUAGUUAGAACAUGUAUGGCAAGUACAAUGAAAGUUAAAUGAUAAAAGAACUACUUUCUUCUAUCUAGAUCUUAUGAUAUUAUCAUGGGGAUAUAAAUUUUUAAUCUGCAGAAAUUGUGAAGAUCUUUCUUGACCAAUCCCUUUGACACUCAUUCUUCAAGGAAUAAGGAAGAGUAUUUUUAAGUUUGAAUUUGUUCAUUUAGAAUCUAAUUUCUUCUGCUUCAUAUUAAUUUAAUAUGAAUAUCAUCCCUCUCUUUUUUGUUGAUACAUUUAACAUAAACUUGCCCCACUAUUUCUGGUGUGUGGCCUUUUCAGUAAUUUGCAGGAAUAACAGAUUACAUUUUCUGGGCACUGAAUAGACAGGUUCUCAUAUGAAGUGAAAGGAUUCUUAGCUUUUGAUUUGUGAUGAACAUAAAUGAAAUAGGACUUCAUAUGUGGUAUUGAGGUUUUCUAUUUCUCUCAACUUUACCUGAAGUUUGCCUUGCAAAGUUUUCUCUAACUUUUGCCUAAUUAUGCCCUCAUUUUCAUUCUCGGGCUAAUUAAAAUUUCAUUUAUCAAAAACUAUCGUAAUUGAUUCAUCUUCAUCUAUUUCGAUUUAGUAAAUUAGUGAUCUACCAACAAAGGUGUUUGUAUGUUGUUAAUGAAAACACAUACUGCCUUUUCUAUUCUCUUCAAGUCUUUUUCCUAUCAUCUUCUUCCUCUACUUUUUUCAGCUACAUCUAUCUCACUCAACUUCUAUUUCUCCUUUUCAGAUUUUUACUUCUUAACCUCUUUAUAGGUUGUGAGUUUCCAAUUUUGAGUUCAUUUCAAACGAACACAGGGUGUUCUUUUUAAAUUUAGGUGCCAUAAUCCCUCAAUGUCUUCUCAUAUGUGUCUUUGCGUUUUUGUGAUGUUUGAGUUUUAACUGUAAGAGUGGUUUAAGGAAAUAUGGAUUAUAUAAGAGGAGAAAAUAGAGUUGCAGCUAACGGUUCAUCUCUGGCACAGAUUCAUUUCACAAGCUGUCCCUUUUUGUUAAAAUUAACUUGUGACCUAGACUAAUUCCUUUGAUUUUGCUAAAUCUAAACAGGAAACAACAUUUUACAACUACUAUCUUGCUUUGGUGAUGAUGAGGGACAACCCCAGAAAAUUAUGCUAUUGACGUCCCAUUAUUUGAAUGAGCAAACCUAGCCAAAAUUGUGGUAAGAACAGAAUCGUCUCUGGCAGCAACAUAAUUGUUAACAGUGAAACAACUUCAGCACUUUGAACAUUCUUCAGCUACAAUUUGUUGAGGCUAACAAUGAAAUAACUUUGCUAGAACAGCUUCUGUUUGGCAUGUUUGUUGUUACCUCCUGUCUUUGAUGAGAAUUAAUUGUUGCCUUUGAUGAGGUUGGCUGCUAUGGUUUGACACCUCAUUUUGAGGUUGAAUCACUGUUGUGUUUUGACCUUUUUCUGCUCCAUUUUUGUGAUGUAUUCUAAACCAUGGGCUGCUGUAUUUUUUAUUUUACUGCUGCUGAAUUUUAGACUAAGCUAUUUGUUACACUUUUGAUCAAAUUUGAGUCCAUUGUUGCUAUGUGUCAAGCUAAAUUUUGCUACACAUUUGAGCCAAUGGUUGCUAUGUAUUGAGCUAAACUUUGCUGCACUUUUAAGUUUGCCAACUGCGGCGUUUUUGUCAAAAAUAUUGCUGCUACAAAUGUUGCACUUUGGGCAGAAGUUGAGGCUUAAGGAUUGCUGCAUUUUUGCUAAAUUAUUGCUGCAUUUUUUAGCUGAUUGGGGUUCAUUAUUGCUCUGCGUUUUUGGUGAAAAUUUUGUUACUUUUAAGGCUAUUUGAAACAGUUGCUUCACCUAAAUGUUUACAGGACGAUGAAAUUCAAUUUGAGGCCAUGCUCCUUUGAAAUAUCCCUCGGUUAGGGCCAUUUGACAAAAGGUGAUAAAAAAGGUAUCUAAAUAGUGAUAAGGCAAAAAAACUCACGCAUGCACAUGUAUCUUGGCGAGGUAACCAGAAUGGCUGAUGAGCCACUUAGCUAGCUUGCAGCCAUGGCAUGCCAGAUUUUCUUUCGUUCGAAAAUCAAUUACAUAUCGCUCACUUGAUGGACCGAUUUCAGAAAAUGCUCUCGAGAAUGUCCGUUUCCUUUUGU
rnacentral:lncRNA from 1 species